UGCUAUUUAUAGCUACUCUAUACAAAGGGGAUACUACUCCUAUUCCAAUGUGGGACAAUUACAUAGCUAUCUCUAACAGAGGAAGGUCUCCACUCUCUCUUGGUGUCAUAAAUAGCAUUUAUCAAAUUUUCCCAGACUUCCCUUCCAGCAUGUAUCUCCAUAGCCAUUUGAAGAGCAUGCACUUUUUAUGCAAUUUCAAGUUUCUUACACCAAGAUCUCCACCUUUCUUAUCAUUCAUUACCACCUGCCAUUUAAUUAAAUGUAUUCUCCUCUUAGUGGCAUUUCCAUCCCAUAAGAAUUGAUUCCUCAUGGAAUUCAUUCUUUUCUCCACUGUUGCAGGCAUUGGAAUAAAGACAUCAAAUAAGUUGGCAUUCCAUCUAACACACUAUUUGUUAGUGUAAGUGUACCCCCAAAAGAUAAGUAUUAUUUCUUCCAUGGAAUUAACUUUUUAGCACACCUGUCCAGGACCCCUUGCCAAAUAGUAUGAUCAUACCUCUUCACCCCCAAGGGAAACCCUAAAUAAACUGUUGGGAACUUCUCUACUUUACAACCCAGAUACGUCAUUUUAGCUUGCCAGCUAUCUGUUCUCCAUUCUCUUGUCAGUCUCUAGCUUUCCUCAGGACAUUUUGUACCAUGUGAGUUGACCCAUUCUUAUUCAACCUCAGAAGCCAUACCCCUACAUUGUAACUUGUUCUGGAUUCUCAACAGCUGAAUCUUCAUUCUCCUUUUCCACUCUUUCGCGCGGAAAACUUCUUUUGCUGGGUCUCACUUGCACAUUUCUGGGUUUGACCUUUCGUUCCUUAGUCUCACUAUGUUCAACUAAGCCACUUCGUCCCUAGAACCAACUCUUAUUGUGUAUGAGAUCGCCUGGCUAUUUGUGUAUUUGAUUGAAUCUUCUCAAAUUUAUUCCCCACUUGUAUAACCGAAAAGUUAAAUUGUGCUUGACAUGUGUGGCCAAGAAAGUUGGUUAAAGUCCCAGCCAUUAACACCACAAUUUUCUCUUCAAAAGCUGGCUGGAACUUUCCUGUAAUAACAACUCAAGAUUAGAAGAACGAAAGACAUCAGACCCAGCAUAGCUGCACCAGGCUGACAAAGAGGUGAGGCACCGGGGAUUGCUUAGGAUUUCUGUAUGACUGGUGAAGGUGAAAAUGCAGCCUUUACGGUUGAUUUGCUGGUUCAGUUUUCGACACUGUGGCAGUAAAGGUACUUCUUUUCCCCUUGUUCUCAUUUUGUUCGUAGUGUGUUAGAUUGGUUCACUUUUCACUCUUUUUGUGCUUUAUGAAAAAGGAAAUUUAAAGAGAAAGGUGCAACUCAUAAUUAACCCAAGACCGUUCAGCUUGUCACUGCAGAGGACAGUAUUCUCAGUCGCAGUGACACUAGCUCACUACCACCCAAAGCCCAUUGUCGACGAAUCACACACGCCUCCUCUCCUUGUCAUCGCCGUCCCAUGUGUUCAUGUGUGAUGUCAUCUCUGAUGAUCUCUUCUCUUCGACAUAAACGUCUUCAAGAUUAACUGAACUUCCUGAACCAUCCUUAGCUUAUUCCUUGCUCUCAGAUCUCAAGAGUUUCCGGCGUUCUUGGUAUUGGUUUUAACCUCCUACAUUCUCUUUCGCUCUCUUAUUUUUCUUUCAAUUCCUGCAUUUUCAAUUUGAUUCUUGUUGUUCUCAAUUCUACUUUUGAUUGCUUUAGAGUCUUCUCUGAACAGCGCAAGUUGUAAGUCCCAGAAAAAAGUUAUCUGCUAUCUUUUCGGUCCAGAAAAAAUUUAUCUGCUUUCUUUUCUGUUUCUUUUGUAUGCUUUCUUAUCAUUAACAAAAGAAAAAUUCAAUUAUUGGAGCACCUCUUUUCCCUCCAUUCCCUUGUCUACUAUUUACUAAUGUUAACUUCCAGGUAGCGAGAAUCAUGUCUCUUGGGUGGUAGCAGUGCAAUUAUGGUUCGUGGAUUAAGUAUACUAGGAGCAUUGAGUCAAAAGUUCUCAGAUAUCUGAUUGAGGAGCAUGGAUUAAAGAAGAUGCACAACUGUGCAUUCUUCUAUGGAAUUUCCUUGACCUUGAGCUGAUCAACCUUUUCCCGAUCCUGCAGAACCGGUUGCAAAGUCUGGGCCAAAGAUAGAGCAUUAUACAACAGGGACAUCCAACGUAUUUUGUGCAAGUAACUAGCGUGGUUCUCCUUUAGCCAGCACCCCAAUACAUGGCAUGCUCUUUGGGUCAGGUCAAAACUCUAAAAGAAUAAAUCAACUUCCUUUUGAGCGCCCAACAACAGAGGGACAUUUUUUAUUAUGAUAAUGGCAUUGGUCGGAUUACAAUUGGAUCUUAGUUUGUUUCCAAAAUUGUUACACACAAAAGGACCUAUUAGGAAACACGUUUGCUAGACUUUUGCCCAUCUCCUCAAUUGCACAUGAGAUAAUCGCGUUGGGAAUGUUUGUUAUGGCCAUGCAGACAGUCAGUAACAAACAAAGGAAAGCAUUGCACUUAUGUGAUAUGGUAGAUUUCCCGGAAGGAAAAGAACGCCAGGUGUUUUGAAGACAGAAACAGCUCUGUUCAGAAGAAAAAGAUGAAUUGCAUUCUGCUGCUUCAGUUUUGGUGUAAAGGAAAUUAUGUAAGUGAUGAAGAAUCGAUUUUAGAUGUUAUAGAGUUCUUGUAAGAAGAACAAGAAUAUGUUUUGAUUACUUCUUAAGAAUAUCUUAAUGGUUACCAGCACAACCUUUGUUCUGGGUUUUUAGUA